GUAACAAAUUUUACACAUUCUUUUUUUGUCCUCAUUGAUUUAUUAUCUGAUAUAAGGGACAUAUAAGGAGACAGAUAUCCAUCUUUAAAAUUGCCUCAAAAGUUUUUUUUUUUUUUAACCACAGAUAAUGAAACAACCACCAUCGGUUAAAUUUGAUGCAAAAAUAUUGCAUCUACCAGCAUUUUCAGGUAGGAUCAUAAAGGAGUUAUCGAACAUGUAGACUGUCUGUAUACAGAUACGAAUAUGAAAUUUAUUCACAAAUGAAUAUUUGUAUGUGAAUAACUAAAUUUAUUUUGUCUUGACAAUUGGUUAUAUUCUUGGGUCAGUGUUAUGUGAAUUGUAAAUAAUCUGUAAUUCAUUUGUGCCAGCUGUUGACAUUUCUCAGCUGAGUCUGGGCUGCCCUGUCCUCUUGUGUGUGGGGAGGUUCCUGUAGAUCUGGGCAAGUUUUCCUGUAGAGUGGGUGGGGGGCCUCCUCCCUUCCGUUCAUAGAGCUGGUUGAAUUUCCACCAUUUAUGGCAGGUGUAGGUGCACAGGGUUGGGGACAACAAGGAAGGAUUGGGAUUCUAUUGGCGGGACCAGGACAUUUGAGAACGGGACUAGGUGGUUCAUGACUGUGGAGAUGGUGUGGGAGUGGAGAUACUUAAGGGAUAAUUAUUACAUUUCUGUUGAGCUAAUGAAAAUCUUAUUUAGGGUGAAAGUCAAAUUUUUACAUACCUUAAACUUUUUUAACAAAUUAUAUUUUAAGCUGUUAAACUCAAUUUGGGGAAAAUUAUUCAUUGUGGCUAGAUUAGAAUCUAUGAUUUGAAGUAAAUUUAAAAUAUAUUUAGGUUUAAAUAAGCCAGCUAAGGGUUUAUAUCAGUCAACUUAAUUACUGAUAAAAACAACCAAAAAAACCUGUGGAGAAGGACGUUUUUGAAAGACCAAAGUGAAGCAAAAUAUUAACAGUGCUUUCAGUGCCAAGUAGGUCUAUUUAUGCAAACCUAGAGAAUUAUUAUCGGGAAAUACUAUUUCCUUUUUCUUCUUUGAGUUACUUAGGAAAUUAUAUUUACAAUUUCUUUGUCUAAAGAUUGAGAUCAGCAAAAACAUGUUAGCAAAAAAUUUUAGGGAGUAUCACAUUUCCUAGAUUUUGCCCUUUUUUUUAUAGGGAUUUGGAGGUAGGAAUUUCAGGUGAUUUUAGCUAUCAUGUUAUCCUCGUUAUUUUUUUACAGUAAUUUCAUUGGAACUUUUUAAUAAACUGUGUGGUUUGUGCUUUUCUCAAUAUCUGAGAGUUGAUUUAUUUAUACAAAGGCUUUUUUGUCUUUUACUUCAGUUGUAUUGAACUUUGCAUUUUGUUAUAAUCUAGGUUGUGGGACAAUUCUGCUUUAGACAUCUGCUUGGUUUGAAAGCAUAGUUUUCCAUUGAAGUGUUUAAAAAGUUUCCAUGGAUAGAUAAAGAGAUGAGGAAUAUAGAAGGACAAAUAGAAGUAGUGUCAUCUUUGGAGUAUUUUUAGUGUUGACAGAGUAAUGUUUUCUUUGUCCUCAGCUGUCGUAACUCUGUGUUUAUUUCUCAUGUAAUGUUUCCAGCAGUUGUUUUUCUCAUCAUCAUACUUCUGUUAUUUUCUUUCCUUGACAAUGGAUAAGUUAUAAUUUCUGAAAGACCAAGAUUGGAAUGACUUUUUGUAACAAGUGUGCUCGCAGAUCGACUCCAGUGAGAAGAGCUCGGGGACCUCCUGAGCCAAGCUUAAUCUCCUUUGCUGUUUGUGCGUGGUGGCUGGUCACCAGGAGGUGGCCACCAGGCUCCUCCUUUCCCCGCUGGUAGGCCUCUGUGACAUGACUUAUGCAUUUAAAUUUAUGUUUUUAUAGAGGCUCAAACAAGUGCUGAAAUAGCAAUUUGAUUUAACUACCAUGAAAAAACUGAUUUAUCACGAUUUUAGGUUUAUGCAAAUUAUCCUCUGCUUAAUCCUUACGUCUUAAAGUAAAUAAGAGUAGACGGUGAUUUUGAACUUUUUGUUGUUGUUGUUGUUUGUAAUACUCAGGUUUCCAUUUUAUGUUAACUUGUAAGAUUUUUUAAAAAUAUGUGAAAUCAGGCCGGGCAUGAUAUCAUAAGACAGACCUUUUACCUUCUCAUCAGUGACUGGAAUGAACGCCUGUAAUCUCAGUACUUUGGGAGGCCGAGGCAGGUGGAUCACCUGAGGUCAGCAGUUUGAAACCAGCCUGACCAACAUGGCGAAACCCCAUCUCUACUAAAAAUACAAAAUUAGCAGGGUGUGGUGGCGCACUCCUGUACUCCUAGCUACUUGGGAGGCUGAGACAGGAUAAUCACUUGAACCCAGGAGCCAGAAGUCGCAGUGAGCCGUGAUCAUGCCAUUGCACCCCAGCCUGGGCAAAAAGAGCGAAACUCCAUCUCAAAAAAAAAAACAAAACAAAAAACAAAAAACAAAAUGUGAUAUCAUAAGACAGACCUUUUCCCUUCUCAUCAGUGACUGGAAGGAACUGCCCAUGUGGAACAGGUUGUGGGUGUUGAUUCCUUUACUGGGUCAUCUGGUAAACUGCAAGGUUUCUGCUGUGACAUUGAAGGCAGACAUCAACCCUCUAAGACAUUUCUUUCCUAUCCUCUGGGAAUAUUACUUUUUGGACUAUCCUGGUCCAUUGGUAAGCUCAUGGGAAUUUGUCAGAGUUUUUUUGUUUUCUGUUUCUUUUGGCUCAUGUUUAGCAUCGAUUGGCAGAGUGUUUGAAGUCAUCCUCAGAAAGGAAUUACAGUCGUUCGGAGGUAUUUUCUGUAGUGGGCCCUCAUUUGGGAGUUGGCUUGAAAAAAAUGUAAGUUCACUUGCUUCCAGGAUAGUAUUAAGAUUGCUUUUUUUGAUAGUUGGCGUGUGUCUAUCAGGUAAGGGCUGUCAUUUAGAGAAUAUAAAGUGGUAGGAGAAACUAAAAGUACUGUUCUUAGUUUUUAUUUUAAUCUUAUUCAUAUACAAGUGCCUUUGUAAUUUAGUAAAUAUCAUUUUUGGUGUACAGUAUAAAUUUCCUUUUUAUAAAGAUCUGAGCUGUUAACUUUGCUGUCACUUUCUGUGUUUCAUGACUUAAAUAUUUUAAUUUUUUCUUUUUUUACAUUUACAUUUUUUAUUCUAGUUCCAAUUGCUAAUCCAGCGUUUGUGGAUGGCUGCAAACUGUGAUAUGGCUGAAGCAGUGCCUACUCAAUAGAACCAGUCAUCGUGCAAAGAAAUGCCACCUGACUCAAAGGCAAAGCCCGAGUGCAGCUUGGAGCAAAGAAGUUUGUGUUGAAGGAGAAACUAACAAUGAAAAUGGACUUGUUGAUGGAAGAAAAGUAGGAAUGCAGCCUCUGGUGCUGUUUGAGUGAUCCCUCUGCCCAGGCCUGGCUGCGCGCUGCUGUGUUCUGGAAAGGCGCAUCGUACCCUGGUUGUGGCAGGUAAGAGUCAUAUACAGGUGCUCUGCCCACUUUACCUUUCAGGCUUCUGUAUCAGCUGUUUUUCCCUUGUAGAAUGUGCCCCUGACCUGUGCCCCUGACUUCCACCCCUUAACCCUACCCAAUACAUCUUUACAUGUCUGACCAUCAAGACUCUUCUGGGUCAUAUUCAGUUCAUGCUGAUAUUUUCCCUUCCUCCCCUCUUUAGUCCUUACUAUUUUUGCUUUGGUCAUGUUAUGCUAUAUUCUGUAAGCCUUUAAAAAUUUUGUUGUAUCAUGGCAGGGGAGAAUAUUUUAUAAUUAUGCUUUGUGCGUUUUAUCUUCCACUCAAUGAAUGCUUGGUAAAUAUUUGUUUUAUUGAGUAUAUGACCCUUUUCUAGCUAUACUGUGAACAAAAAUGUUAACUGCCUUGUAAGUUAACUGCUAAGAAUUUGUCAAAAGUGCAGAGAUGACAUCCAGAACUUGUCAUGAAUAUUACAAAAAGGUCUCUAAGGGGUUGAUGGAGGUCUGUAAAUUGACUUCAUGUGAAAGAGUGUAAGAAGUGAAAAUGUGAAGCAUGACUGGAGAGCCGAAGUGAUAAAGCAAGGGUCCCUUUCUCCAGAUCCUUUGUAACAGUGUCAUGUGACCUCUUCUAGAUCAUUCUGAAAGACAAUGCCAGCUCGGAACCUAGGAAAGCAUCCUGUGGGUUUCUGCAGGUUAGGUGGUUCAAAUCCUCAUUGACACCUUUGUUUUCUCUGCCUCAGUUUGCUUACAGUGAUGUUCUCAGUAGCUGUAAUUGCUGUCUGUCUUUGAAUAUUUAAGCAUUUUUUUUUUUAGAUCACAGGGUAUAUGUGCAUUUUUAUUUUACCAAGUGUUAGAAUUUUUACUCUGCCUUUGUGGGCUCUGGGUUAGCUACUUGGUUGUUUCAUCGUAAAAUGAUUAGCAGGAAAAACUGUGUGUGUGUGUGUUCGUGUGUGUGUGUGUAUUUUAAGUUUCUUAAUUGGGUUGGUACAUGUAAACCAUUUAGAACAGUGCCUGCUGCAUAUCACAUCCCCAUCAGUAUUCACGUCUCUCAUAUUCUACCCUCACACUUGAUUGAUAGUUUGCCUGAUUAUGUAUUUCUAGGUUGAGGAUAAUUUUACCUUAGAAUUUCAAAGUCUGUGCUGUUGUCUUCUAACCAGUCGUGGUGGUGAAGCCUCAUGCCAUCCUGAGUUUCACUUGUUUAUGCAUGACUUUCUCCCUGGAAGCUUUUAGGAGUUUGUCUUUUCCUUGGUGAGCUGAAAUAGCACAACAGUGUACUUAGUGUGGGUCUUUUUUCAUUCAUUAUGCUGGGUACACCAAAUGAACAGGCCUAUGGAUAGGCUCUUUCAAAGUUGGAGUCUUGAAUCUUGUCAUAUUUUUGUUGUUAACUUUCUCUUUUCCAUUUUAUUUGUUCAUUUGGAAGUGUCUGUUAAUUGGAUUUUAGACCUCUUGUCUUGAGUCUUGUAUCUCACGUUGUUUCUAAAUUUUUUUAAAAUUUUAAGUUCUGGAAUAUUUUUCUUAUCUUUCGACUUUCAGGAAAUUUUAUUUGGACUGUCAUAACUUUAAGUUUUGUUUUGGUUAUUUAUUGUUGCUUAACCAAUUAUCCCAAAACUUAAUGGUGUAAAACUACACAUCUGUCUAUCUGUCACUACUGUAUGGAUUACCUGGGGCUAGCUGGACAGUUUUCUUGCUGGUCUCAUUUGGCAGCUCUCACUGUGCGGUCAGACAGUGUCAGGGACUGGUCAUCUGGAUGCUCAGCUGCAGUGGAAUGUCUGGGAUGGCUUCUUCACCCACAGGUCUGCUGCCUUGGUGUUUCUUCAUGUGGCCUUUCUCUCUGCAUAGCAUCUCAUCCUCUUGGAUCUCUUCAUGUGGCUUUUCUUUCUCCAAGAGGGUAGUCAAUUCUUAUUUUUGGCUUCCAGAAGCACAGAAAUGGAGCUGCCAGGGGUUCUUAAGGCUUAGACCUGGAACAGGUCCAGUGUCAUUUCUACCACAUGCUAUAGUUAAAGUGAGUGUUGGGGCCAACCCAGAUUGACUAUGGGAUGGGCCUGUCUAAGGACAUGAUGACAGGAGGUAUGGCUCAUUGGAGACCAACUCCCAAGAUGAAGCAUGAGUUCUAAGAACUUUUUCUUCUCUGAUUAUUUCUUAUUCAUAUUCUGUUUUGUUUUAUACGUGUAAUAUAUUCACAAGUGUCUUUAUGAAGUGAUUUUGAUACUCUUUGUCUUCUCCCUGGCAUCUCUUUGUUCUUUAAUAAUUUUUUUCUUAGUUUAUUUUGGUCUUAUUUUUCUUUUUAAAGCCUUUCCUUAAAUAUCUAUUCUAUGUUG